GAGAGCCGUGUGAUGGGUGACUAUCCAGCACGGUUCGGAGAGCACUUUUAGUCUGCGUUGGUGAAUGGAAGCCCCUCUAUAAAGCAAGAAAGAAGCGGCUAUUCCCCCUAUGUCACCAAUUGGGGAGUCACCAUUGACUCUAU
rfam:Lupinus angustifolius cultivar Tanjil contig_23796, whole genome shotgun sequence.